rnacentral:rRNA from 1 species
CUCCCCCGUUGCUGACCCCAGGUUCGAUAGCGCCAAUUAGGCGCCACCUCGCCAAGAACCAGCUUCGGUGAAGCGACGGGCGGUGUGUGCAGGGA